UCCUGGCUAGUUCAUUGAGUAGAGCAUGAGACCUUUAAUCUCAGUUAUGGGUUCGAGCCCCAUGUUGGGUG
rnacentral:tRNA from 1 species